CCACGGAAGCGGAACCAAAGCUCUUCGCAAAUACCCAAGUCAACCCACAUAAUCGCCAAUUGGGCUGGGCCAAAUCGCCAAUUAUAGGAGAGAAUCGCCUAGAGGACCAUUCCAAAGCUACUAGGAAAUUUCCCCUUACUAGGAAUCGCCGAUUUCACGGCCAAAUCGGCAAUUCUAGGGGCGUUACUUGGAGCCAACCUGGACGUGUUAAUGACCCGGCCGCGAUCUCCGUUGUAGAUGACGCCCCUGGAUGCCCUAUUAAAGAAGGCCCCUAAAGCACAUCGAUCUAAAUCAUCAGUUCUACCCCUUCCAUAGUGACAAACACGGAGAAAUAGUCGAUUUGCUCGCCAAUCACUUAUAAAGGACGUCGCGCAGGAUUAAAUAGUACGUCAUGCAUCUGAUGUUUUUUCAAUUUCUCUUCUUCAAGCGGUAACUGAUCUCUUUAUCACUCUUAUAUUAAUUUCCCCUAGCCCUUCCGAUCUUUAUCCUCUAUUCUGUUCUCUUUUCAAGAAAUACCUUCUUGGAUUGCAAUGAUAGGAAACACCUUGAGUAGUAUAUGUUAAUAAUAUAAUUUUCCUGCAGGAAUUGAAGUAAUGAAAUAGAAAUUGCAAUGAUAAAAAUUAAAAAAUCACUUCAAAUUAAAAGAUUUAGGUACGUCUACUAAAAUAUUUUCUUUGUAUAGAGAUAUCAAGAUUAAAUGAAAGGAUAUUUUUAUCCAAAGAAAAUAUAUAUACUUUAGGAAUUAAUAUUUGAAGAAACUGGUCUAUGUGGAGCAAAACCCUAGCUAAUUAAGAAAUGAUAAAACAAAACAAAUAUAUGAUCCUAUAUUUUACAUAAAAAUUGUGGGAAAAUUAAUAUAUCUAAACAUAACUAGACCUGCAGAUCUAAGCUUCCCAGUCCAUUAUUUGAAAUUAGUUGAUGAACUUAAGAUAAAGGUUACUAAACCAAUAACUUUAUAUUGCGAUAAUAAAUCAACAAUAUAUCUAGCCAAUGAUCCGAUUUUUCAUAAAAGAACCAAAUAUAUAAAGAUUGAUUGUCAUUUCAUAAGAGAAAUGAUAAAUAAAGACAAAAUAUAUUUGUUUCAUGUUCGGAAUAAAAAAUCUUUAUUAAAAGGCCUGAGGGGGAGUAAAGGAGUUAAAUAUCUAAUAUUUAAAGGUAAUAAUAAUUAACUUUAAAGAUUUGCAGGUAAUUCCACAAACUCAAGGACCUGGAUACAAUAGUUUAAGAAGGUUUACUUAAUUCGGCAAUGGACCAAUUAAUUAAUCAAUCAAAUCGUUGGACCCAAAAAAGUUUGGUUCAUGAAGAAAGAAAUGAAGAAGAAUCGUUGAAGAUCGAUCAACUUAGUUAUUUGUUAAAGAAGUAAUAGUUAUAAGAUAAUUAGUUGUGACAAUCGAAAUACUUUUAAGAUAUGUGGGUACCAAGGUCCGUCCAGACGGAAGCCGAACAUGACCGUUGGACCCAGAAGGCCCAGAGAAAUGUACUAUAAUAC
rnacentral:lncRNA from 1 species